rnacentral:rRNA from 1 species
GACGAACGCUGGCGGCGUGCUUAACACAUGCAAGUCGAACGAUGAAGCCGGAGCUUGCUCCGGUGGAUUAGUGGCGAACGGGUGAGUAACACGUGAGCAAUCUGCCCUUGACUCUGGGAUAACUGCGGGAAACUGUAGCUAAUACCGGAUACGACACCUUGGGGCAUCCCAGGGUGUGGAAAGAAUUUCGGUCGAGGAUGAGCUCGCGGCCUAUCAGCUAGUUGGUGAGGUAAUGGCUCACCAAGGCGACGACGGGUAGCCGGCCUGAGAGGGUGACCGGCCACACGUGAACUGAGACACGGUCCAGACUCCUACGGGAGGCAGCAGUGGGGAAUAUUGCACAAUGGGCGAAAGCCUGAUGCAGCAACGCCGCGUGAGGGAUGAAGGCCUUCGGGUUGUAAACCUCUUUUAGCAGGGAAGAAGCGAAAGUGACGGUACCUGCAGAAAAAGCACCGGCUAACUACGUGCCAGCCGCCGCAGUAA